rnacentral:tRNA from 1 species
GGAGGGAUGCCGGAGCGGUUGAACGGGGCGGUCUCGAAAACCGUUGUGGGCCUUGUGGUCUACCGAGGGUUCGAAUCCCUCUCCCUCCU